AGGAUGAACGCUGGCGGCGUGCCUAACACAUGCAAGUCGAACGUCCUGUCUCGCAAGAGGCAGGGAGUGGCGGACGGGUGAGUACCACGUGGGUCAUCUACCGUGAGGUGAGGAAUACCGGCGAGAAAUCGCCGACAAGACCGCAUAGCCUCGGUGCAAGUCGAGCAAAGCUCUUUCGAGAGAGGGAGCGCCACACGAGGAGCCUGCGCCCGAUUAGCUAGCUGGUGGAGUAACGGUUCACCAGGGCGACGAUCGGUAGCUGGUCUGAGAGGACGAUCAGCCACACUGGGAUUGAGAACGGCCCAGACUCCUACGGGGGGCAGCAGUGAGGAAUUUUCGUCAAUGGGGCAACCCUGAACGAGCAACGCCGCGUGCAGGAGAAGGUUUUCGGAUCGUAAACUGCUUUUCUCGGGGAAGAGAAUGGACGGUACCCGAGGAAUCAGCCCCGGCUAACUACGCGUCAGCAGCCGCGU
rnacentral:rRNA from 1 species